AGUUAAAAACUUAAGAAAGUAAUAUGUUUUGAAAACAUAAACAAGAGGUUUAAGUCCUCUAUUAACUU
rnacentral:tRNA from 1 species